UACGGGGGGGGCAAGCGUUGUUCGGAAUUACUGGGCGUAAAGGGCUCGUAGGCGGCCAACUAAGUCAGACGUGAAAUCCCUCGGCUUAACCGGGGAACUGCGUCUGAUACUGGAUGGCUUGAGUUUGGGAGAGGGAUGCGGAAUUCCAGGUGUAGCGGUGAAAUGCGUAGAGAUCGGGAAGAACAUCAGUGGCGAAGGCGGUCUGCUGGGCCGUUGCUGACGCUGAGGCGCGACAGCGUGGGGAGCAAACAGG
rnacentral:rRNA from 1 species